rnacentral:misc_RNA from 1 species
GAAGAAGCACAGAUUGAACGGGUUUUGCAUGAUCAUUUUCUUUUUAGAAAGCUUACAGAUUCUCAGUGUCAAGUUUUGUUGGAUUGUAUGCAAAGAGUUGAGGUUCAAGUUGGAGACGUUGUAGUCAAACAGGGUGGAGAAUGUGACUCUUUCUAUGUUGUUGGAAGCGGGGAAUUUGAGGUCUUAGCAACACAGGAUGAGGAAAACGGCGAAGCUCCUAGGGUUCUUCAGCACUACACAGCUGAUAAGUUGUCAUCCUUUGGGGAGCUGGCUCUGAUGUACAAUAAACCACUCCAAGCUUCUGUCCGCGCUGUUACCGACGGAAUUUUGUGGGAACUUAAACGAGAAGAUUUUAGAGGAAUUCUUGUGUCAGAGUUUUCUAAUUUGUCUUCAUUGAAGCUUCUGCGU